rnacentral:rRNA from 1 species
UACCAGCAGCCCCGAGUGGUCGGGACGAUUAUUGGGCCUAAAGCAUCCGUAGCCGGUUUUACAAGUCCUCCGUUAAAUCCAACUGCUUAACAGAUGGGCUGCGGAGGAUACUAUAAGACUAGGAGGCAGGAGAGGCAAGCGGUACUCAGUGGGUAGGGGUAAAAUCCGUUGAUCCAUUGAAGACCACCAGUGGCGAAGGCGGCUUGCCAGAAUG